rnacentral:rRNA from 1 species
UACGAAGGGGGGCUAGCGUUGUUCGGAAUCACUGGGCGUAAAGCGCACGUAGGCGGGCGUGUCAGUCAGGGGUGAAAUCCCGGAGCUCAACUCCGGAACUGCCUCUGAUACAGCACGUCUUGAGUUCGAGAGAGGUGGGUGGAAUUCCUAGUGUAGAGGUGAAAUUCGUAGAUAUUAGGGAAAGAACACCGGUGGCGAAGGCGGCCCCACUGGCUCGAUACUGACGCUGAGGUGCGAAAGCGUGGGGAGCAAACAGG